rnacentral:rRNA from 1 species
CGGACGGGUGAGUAAUGUCUGGGAAACUGCCUGAUGGAGGGGGAUAACUAUGGAAACGGUAGCUAAUACCGCAUAACGUCGCAAGACCAAAGAGGGGGACCUUCGGGCCUCUUGCCAUCGGAUGUGCCCAGAUGGGAUUAGCUAGUAGGUGGGGUAACGGCUCACCUAGGCGACGAUCCCUAGCUGGUCUGAGAGGAUGACCAGCCACACUGGAACUGAGACACGGUCCAG